AUUCAGCAAUUAUAUCUAAACCUUCCACCCAACCCGACCUCUCUGGUGACCUUCAGUCCCAUUCGUCGACCCGCCUGAGGUUACCAUGUUUGGAAGACAGAAUUCCACUCUUCCUGAUUGCAAAGUAAAGAAAAGAAACAUCCAGACAUCUGGGAGACGACAAUCAAAAGCACUUUUAAACUGACCUUCGUACUGCCCCUAACCCAUCACUGCAGCAACCACUUUGGGCGGCCGGCAGUCCCCACCCACACCCGAACCACCACUCCGUGGAUCAUCCUCCAGUCUUCCUGGUGCCCUGGAAAGAACAAGGUGGACAGUGGCAGCUCACUGACCCGAAUUCGGAAUUUGGAACAUGUUUGGGAGAGAGGAGAUGAGGAAAUUAAAAUUCAGAGGGUCAUCUUCGUCAGCCGGCAGUGACGGGAGCGACCGCAGCCUCGCCUCUGC